rnacentral:SRP_RNA from 1 species
GCUGGGAGUGGUGGCGCAUGCCUCUAAUCCCAGCCACUUGGGAGGCUGAACCAGGAGAAUUGCCUGAACCCUGAAGGCAGAGGCUGUGGUGAGCCGGGAUCACGUCAUUGCACUCCAGGCUGGGCAACAAGACAUUCCAUCUUAAAAAAAAAAAAAAGCUGGUGACCUUCUGGGAGUGGGGGACCACCAGGUUGCCUAAGGAGGGGUGAACUGGCCCAAUCGGAAACAGAGCAGGUUAAAACUCCCAUGGGAUCAGUAGUGAGAUUGCGUCUAUGAAUAGUCACUGCACUCCAGCCUGGGCAACAAAGUGAGAUCCUGCCUCU